rnacentral:rRNA from 1 species
CAGUCGCCGCGGUAAUACGUAGGUGGCAAGCGUUGUCCGGAAUUAUUGGGCGUAAAGGGUUCGCAGGCGGUCUCUUAAGUCUGAUGUGAAAGCCCCCGGCUCAACCGGGGAGGGUCAUUGGAAACUGGGAAACUUGAGUGCAGAAGAGGAGAGUGGAAUUCCACGAGUAGCGGUGAAAUGCGUAGAGAUGUGGAGGAACACCAGUGGCGAAGGCGACUCUCCGGUCUGUAACUGACGCUGAGGAGCGAAAGCGUGGGGAGCGAACAGGAUUAGAUACCCCCGUAGUCCCUGUCUCUUAUAC